rnacentral:rRNA from 1 species
GACGAACGCUGGCGGCGUGCCUAACACAUGCAAGUCGAACGGAAAGGCCCUGCUUUUGUGGGGUGCUCGAGUGGCGAACGGGUGAGUAACACGUGAGUAACCUGCCCUUGACUUUGGGAUAACUUCAGGAAACUGGGGCUAAUACCGGAUAGGAGCUCCUGCUGCAUGGUGGGGGUUGGAAAGUUUCGGCGGUUGGGGAUGGACUCGCGGCUUAUCAGCUUGUUGGUGGGGUAGUGGCUUACCAAGGCUUUGACGGGUAGCCGGCCUGAGAGGGUGACCGGCCACAUUGGGACUGAGAUACGGCCCAGACUCCUACGGGAGGCAGCAGUGGGGAAUAUUGCACAAUGGGCGGAAGCCUGAUGCAGCAACGCCGCGUGCGGGAUGACGGCCUUCGGGUUGUAAACCGCUUUCGCCUGUGACGAAGCGUGAGUGACGGUAAUGGGUAAAGAAGCACCGGCUAACUACGUG